AGCGAACGCUGGCGGCAGGCCUAACACAUGCAAGUCGAACGAACCUUUCGGGGUUAGUGGCGGACGGGUGAGUAACACGUGGGAACGUGCCUUUAGGUUCGGAAUAACUCAGGGAAACUUGUGCUAAUACCGAAUGUGCCCUUCGGGGGAAAGAUUUAUCGCCUUUAGAGCGGCCCGCGUCUGAUUAGCUAGUUGGUUGAGGUAAUGGCUCACCAAGGCGACGAUCAGUAGCUGGUCUGAGAGGAUGAUCAGCCACAUUGGGACUGAGACACGGCCCAAACUCCUACGGGAGGCAGCAGUGGGGAAUCUUGCGCAAUGGGCGAAAGCCUGACGCAGCCAUGCCGCGUGAAUGAUGAAGGUCUUAGGAUUGUAAAAUUCUUUCACCGGGGACGAUAAUGACGGCACCCGGAGAAGAAGCCCCGGCUAACUUCGUG
rnacentral:rRNA from 1 species